UAUAAAUGCCAUCAUGCUACCUAUGUUUAUCUUAAGUAAGUGUUGGUUUGGAAGUACUGCACAUACUUCUAUUGUCUUUUAAAUUAAGCAUGGUGCUUAGGUUAAACAGCCUUCCUUAAUCUGAUUAGACAUGGAGUCUAGUUCGAUUAUUGAACUAAAAACUGCUUGUGUAGACAUUGGUAUAUUUUGUUGGACUAACCCCUGCAGGAAAACUUUCAAUAUCAACCUGGGAAGUCCUAAGAUACAAACUCACUGGAGACAAAGGAGACACAUGAAGUUUAACAAUUUGCACAAGAAGGACAUAGCUCAUUCAUCAUAAAGAGAUGAUCUAUGGAGGGUGCCACAAACACGAUGCACAACCGCUAAGAAAGGAAAGCUUCCACAAGCUAGGUGAUACUAUACCAUCACUCUUCAAGUAAGGUGACAUCUUAAGGUACUUGAUUAUCGCUUUUAUAAGUUUUUCCUUUGUUCUGGCAUUCACUUAAAAUAAAGAGACAAACAUGUAUGAUUUAUAACUCCAGAUUAACCAACUCAAUUAAUUCAACAUGUUUAGUCCUUUAAUCUUUGUUCUUAGUACUACCUUCGUGAUCCCACACUCCUAAUCAUAUAAGCUAAAAUGUUGCACAUUUAAAUCUUUGGAAGAUAUAAACAAAACAUAAAUAUAGAUAGAUUAUCUUUCCAUUAGGUUGAGCCAUCUGAUCUAACAAAUGUUUUAAAUGCUACACUCAUGAUCCAUCAACUUUGUCUUGCUCACUAUGCUUAAGGUUAGAGAAGAACAAAUACACUUUUGGUUCUGUUGGUGUUUUCCACCAACAGGGCCCAUGCACUUGAUCUCUGCCUUGUCUCUAUGAGCAGAUACAAUUCAAGCAAAACAUGGAGGAGUUUUACAACUCCCAGAUUCCACCAAGUGAAGAACCGGGAUCUACGAGCACAAACACAAUGGAGAUCACACACUUAGUUUCCCAAAGGAAAUAUUGAAGAACCUCUGCAUCCGAGUUGGUACCUUGUACGCUCUAGUAGACGUCGUGGUGAUAGAGACUGGUACUGAGGAGAGGGCACCCAUCAUCUUAGGGAGGCCAUUCCUAAACACCAGAGCUGUCAUAUACGUUAAUACUGCCAAGUUCAGUUUCUACAUCAAGGGGAAGAAGGAGACUUUCCUUCAAGAACAAGACUACACAAAUUUUAGAGCAAUCCCGACAUGAACCAAGGAAGAGGACCAACAGGAGGAACAGGAACAAGCAAAUGUGGACCGAGUCAGCUAAGAUGGUCACUACAGUUCAGAGGAGGUCAAAAUCAUCGACUCAAGUCGCCCUUCCUGAUCAAGAAGGACGACCCUGAUGUUCCAAGCAUUGAGUGCACAAUCAACAGAUAAUCUUUUCAGAAGACACUCUACAACAUCGGAUCUAACGACAACAUAAUGGCCGCAGUCACUUAUCAGCUCCUGCAUGGAACCAUGCCCCUACAACCAAUAUAUAUUCAGCUCCAGAUGAUUUUCAGAUCAUUGACAUGGGAGAAGACGAGUACGAUCCACCCAUCAUCCUUGGAAGACCGUUCCUCAACACUAUCAAAGCCAUCAUCUAUAUUGGAACCAGAGAAGUCCACAUGCACUUCCCCUCUGAGAAGGUACGCUGCUAUUUUACUCACCUUAACUAUAUAGUUGAAGACUCUAAACAAGUCAGGACAAGAAGAAGACGACGCAACCGCAACCAGAGGAGGCAAAUCAUCAAGGACGGAUGGGCAGACUACAAAGGAGAAGUGAUAAGGUCUGAAGACAUAUAUCUCGAACAGAACUGUCCUGAGGAGACCGUAGCACCGAGUCAGGUGUGGAGAGAGAAGAUAGUUAUACACGAAGAAGAGGCGCCGCCGGAAUCACCGACUACGCCACCCAGCAAAUCCCAAGACGAUUAAGAAAACACAAGGAGUCCCGUUCGGAGGACUUAAAAACACCGAACGCCUUGCCAAGAGGUAAACUUGGUAGUUAUCUUUUUCCUUUCAAUUAUUCAAUUAUAGUUUGCUUAGUUAAUCAGGUUCAUGCUAUCUUGAAAAGAAAAUAAAAAUGUUAAAAAAAUAGUAAGCCCCAUGUGAGUAUGCUCAUGGCAUAAAACCCAUAAGUACAUUCACCGUGGUGGCAUAAAAAUAAAAUAAAUAAGUUUUCAUCUUACAAUAAAAAUAUAAAAAUAAUAAGUGCAUGAUCCUGCUAAAUAAGUAAUAUUUAUUGAGAAGACUCAACAUGAUAAAGGCUAGAUAUUUAUGCUAACACUUAACCAGUUCCACAAAGCUUUGUUGUCUAUUUGAGCUCUACAGAAUUUAAGAACGACUAGCAGACGGAGGACAUCCUAAUCGCUGUCAGAGUGCUGCCGACUUUCAAAUACACCUCCAUCACCUGCUAGCUACAUGAGGAGAAAUUACGUCAAAAUCCAGCUUGGGGGAGAGCACCACCAUUUAUCCAGCUAAGUGUUUCUACUCGCGUUUAUACUUUACACAAAUAAUAAAAGAUGCAUAAUCAUGAAAAACCCAAAUAAAGAUUUUGUGCUUUUAUAUAUAUAUAUCUUUGCUUAGUUUGCUAAAUAAAUAAAUAAAUAAAGUUUGCUAUGAACCCUCAUGAUAAACUCUCACAUGGAAAUGAUGAAUAGUUGCUCUGCCACGACUAGUUCUUAAAAUUGAAAUCUCUCUCAAGUUUAGGCAUGACUGUUAUGAAGUAAGAUUUGCUCUAAACCUGAACUUGUGGGAAGAGUACUUGAUCUAAAGUCUAAGUCGUUAACGGAUACGAUAUGGGAAGGUUGAGCUGCUGUUCAUCUGUUCCUAGAGUUGCUAGAAUUCUGGAAAAUUUUAUCUUUGAAAAAUCUUUAAAAUAACACAUGAUGAGUUCCUGUAUGAUGAGAGUUUAAAUUCCUACCACAGCCAUAUAUACAUGCUUGCUAGACCUUGAGCCACACAUUUACUAUUUACUGCUUAUGAGCAUUGAGUGUGGUCAAGCUGUGUAGACCCUUAGGAGCUUGUCAUGUGGUUAAAUCAAGAUUCACUUGCACGUUCACUCAUACAUGCUACUUCUACUCCGGAAGUACCAUCCACAUAUAUCCACUCAUUUCCGUCUCCAAAACCACCCAAAAGUAUUCUACUCCUAAUCCGGGAGAGAAUAACCAAAAAUAUUUCUGUUUCCCCUUGUGAAAUAAAUGCUCAAGUUAUCUUGUUACUACCACUUGCUAUAUUAUCUCAAGAGAUGAAUGCUCUGAAAAAAAAGAGAGAAAAAGAAAAUAAAAGAUACGAGGAAAUAAAAAGGAGCAAGUGCUCGGAACCUCGAAAGAAAAGAAAAAGAAGAGCAUCUCAUUCUCCUCAUAAAGUUUCAAAAGCAAGGAAGGUAUGUAUCCCCUCAAAGAGCAAAGUAGAAUUAGGCUUCCACCACCAUUGUUAUCACCAUCAUCAACAUACACCAUUCAUUCGCCACACAUGCACAUCUUGAUUUGGCUUAUUGAUUUGUUUCUUUGGAUCCAUGGUUUGACUAUGCAAUAAAUGUCUUGUAAGUAUGUAUACUUUAUCUCCCACCUAUGAGCUCCAGAUAUUAAAGCCUUAUAAGAGUAGGGUGAGAGAGAAGACAUUGUCACUAUGCUUCAUACCACAAAUACUACAUAUCUUGAGAGAAGGCAUAUACCAUCACUGCCUUGGUAAGGAUCCAAAAAUACCACAAAAGAGAGACCUGAGAGAAUCAUACAAGGAAUUUCUGAGUUUUAUUUGAAAAUCUGCAAAAACCCCAGAGCUAUAGCUGAUCAAGAAUAAGAGACAUGGCACUUGGCUAGACUGUUCUAUCUUUUAACCACUCAAGACAGAAGUGACGGUUACAAGUCCUAUGGUGUAGGUAAAGUAAGUAAGUUUUAAGUCUUAACAGUUUAUUCUAACACAGAGAUGAGAUCUUGCUUAAAUACGUGUGUACUUCUAAGAAAUGAAACCACUGCAGAAACUCUUGAGUUCAUCCUUGCUCAGGGACGAGCAAGAGGUAAGCUUGGGGGAGUUUGUUGACGGUCCUUAAGUAUCAAAUUUAAUUAUCAAAUAAACAAAGAAAAGGAUCCAAAUGAAAUCAACAUCUAGACUUAGGGUUUUAUCUGACAGAAUUCCACGAGUUUUGGUGUUUGUCUAUUUCUGCAGGGGGUUAUCAGGAAAUAAGGAAGAAAGGCCCACAUGUCGGGAUUACAUAGAGAUAUCAACCCACCGCGCAAUUUUCUACCAUCUAGAAGACUCCAGAAGCCACGGGAAGGAAGCGGAGCCCGAAAGGGGCCAGGCCCAGGGCGCCCGCCCUGAGGACCUGGGCGCCCGCCCCCCUCUGGACUCCGUUCCGGACUCUCUUCGCACACGACGUUCCACCGACCUAUUGGAUCCAGAAUAAUAUAGUACCACUUCGCCUAUCGACCCAAAAACGCAUAGAAGGGGAGGACUAUAUAAGGAGACCCCCUCUGGCCCUGGAGGAGACAAGAAAUUAUCAUAGAGAUUGAGGGGUUCCCUCGAAGGAAAACCUCUUCUCUAAAUAAUAUUUCUUUUUAGGCUUAGCAACCAAUGUAAAGUAGAAAUAGAUCUUCUAGUUUCUACUAGAUUGAGAGAGAUAGAGUGGAGGUGUGGAUCGGAGGAAGGCCGGCCUGUCGGUGUCUACUCCGAGUUGUACCUACGGGAUCAAGUCUCCUAACCCGAGGCUUGCUUCUAAGAUUCUUCAGUAAUUUGACAUCUAAUACUAGUAAGUUCUUGUUUUAUUGUUCUUUGGUUUAUGAGUUUACUUUAAUCCUCUUCCGGUUGAGUAUUAGAGUAAUCAUUGCUGGCGUAAACGUGGUGUUUAGGCUAGGGUACUCAUAGAUAUCCCCUGACUAGCUGGACCGUGGUAGUUGCGAGGAACGUGACAUUUCCGAGUUACCUUUGUAGAUCACAUCUCGUUAACAGGACGGGUAGGUUUAUAGGUGCGGGUCGAACAUCCUUUGUGUUGUCUAGAUUCCGCGAGCCUCCCCAAUAGAACAGUAGAUCAUCCUUACCAAGAUUAGAAUGAGACUACGGUUGCAGUCUUCUCUAUACAUCACUCACAUCGAGAGACAUUCUUUGUAGCCUAAAGGGAUAGUAGCAAUAGAUUUGGUUAGUCAGAUGCACCCUUUCUCCUAGUGGUAAAAAUAUAAAUACGAUACUCUGGAAAACCUCCCGGGUGAAAUGCUCACUGAUAUCCGUGCGCUUGCGGAUCAUUUCCUUAUUGCGUUACUAAAUAUCAACAAUAAGCAGUAAAAAGUAAAUGUGUGGCUCAAAGUCUAGCAAGCAUGUAUAUAUAUGGCUGUGGUAGGAAUUUAAACUCUCAUCAUACAGGAACUCAUCAUGUGAUAUUUUAAAGAUUUUCAAAGAUAAAAUUCUCCAGAUUUCUAGCAUCUCUAGAAAUAGAUAAACAACAGCUCAACCUUCCCUUAUCAUAUCCGUUAACAACUUAGACUUUAGAUCAAGUUUUCUUCCCACAAGUUCAGGUUUAGAGCAAACUUUAAAUUAUAACAGUUAUGUCCAAAUAUGAGAGAGAACUUCAGAUUUGAAAAUUAGGCAGAGCAACGAUUCAUCAUAUCCAUGCUAGAGUUGUAUUAUUAAGAUUCAGUUUAGCAUAGCCACUUUAUUUAUUUAUUAAGCACACUAAGCAAAAAGAUAUAUAUAUAUAUAAACACAAAAUCUUUACUUGGUUUUUCAUGGUUAUGUAUAUUUAUAUUUUAAUAUAGUAUAAGUAUAAAUAUGUAGAUAGAAAUACUUAGCAGGAUAAAUGGGGGUGCUCUCCCCCAAGCUGAAUUUUGACGUAAUUUCUUCUGAUGUAGCUAGCAGGUGGCAGAGGUGUAUUUGAAAGUCGGCAGCAUCCUGACAGCGAUUAGAAUGUCCUCCGUCUGCUAGUCUUUGUUGACGGUCCUUAAGUAUCAAAUUUAAUUAUCAAAUAAAUAAAGAAAAGGAUCCAAAUGAAAUAAAUAUCUAGACUUAGGGUUUUAUCUGACAGAAUUCCACGAGUUUUGGUGUUUGUCUAUUUCUACAUGGGGUUAUGAGGAAAUAUGGAAGAAAGGCCCACAUGUCAGGAUUACGUAAAGAUAUUAACGUGCUGCGCAAUUAUCUUACAUCUAGAAGACUCCAGAAGCCACGAGACCGAAGCGGAGGCGAAUCGGGGCCAGAGACAGGGCGCCCGCCCUGUCCAACUGGGCGCCCGCCCUGCCCCUAAGUCCAAUCAGGACUCUGCUUUGCGGAAAGUCUCCACGACCUAAAGGAUGAAUCUAAACCAUACAAUCUAUGUCGGUUUGAUCCAAGGGCCCAUAUUCACUUGAAGGGACUAUAAAACGAGACCCCCUGGCCCCUGGAGGAGAGAGCCUCUCAACCCUAAUUCAUUGUUCCAUCAAGGGAGAAGAAGUCUCUGAUCAAGAUUAGAGCCACCACAUCAAUUAGAUAUCUAGAUUAGCAUAGCUACAUAGGAUUAGAACUAGAAGGAGUCAAUCUUCGAUUGGUUUCCGGAUCUGUCAGGAGGAUUCUUGGUAAUUCUCUAAUUGUGCUUCUAAUUGCUUUCUAAUUAUCUUUGUUCUUCAAUAUUAUGAAUAUGACUUUGUUCUACUUCAAUAUAUUGCUUAUGACUUUGCUCUAUUUGCUUAUAUUCAAGAUUAUAUUGUUCUUAGUUUAUCAUAGUUAUGUACUUGGCUUAGUUAGAUACGAUCUAUAUAUGCUUAGGAUCGUAUAGCGUUUAUCCAUCGGAUCCAUGGGUAAAUGAUAGAUAUUGUGUAGGCGUGGUGCUUAUACCGUAUUUAUCUACGAUUGUACCCAAUAUGCCAGAUCGUGGGGUAGUUCGUGAUAGUGACAGCUUCAUUGAUUCUUAUAUAGUCCCCCUCUCGUGUAUUGGGCUGGCAGAGCAACAUUAUUACAGGGGAGUGAUUGCUAUGUUUCUCAUAUUCCUUACUAAUCUCACUAUGCAUGGGCGUAGUCUUGUCUCGCAAUGAUUGCUAAGUAUGCUUGCACUAACUAUGAUAUGCUAGACUAUAUAGUUAAGAAUAACUUAGGGAAUAUUCAUGUAGUUCGUUCUAAUACCAUGCUAAUGACUUUCUAGAGUAUCUAAUUGAGGUGCUUAUCAUAUUUAUUAUGUGGCUAGAUCAGAUUAGUUAUCCUUGUCACUAUUAUCAUUUCAUAUAUUUAUUAUGUGACACUUAUCCCUGUAUGAAGAGUUAGAUAUAAUGUUCUCAAUUAUACAUGCAAUGAUAGAUGCUCAAUCUCAUAUUCUAUUCUGUAAUCAAUAGUGAUGAUUGAUUAAUCCCUUCCCAGUGGUAAAAAUAUAUAUAACGAUACCUGGAAUACUUCCCGGUUAAAAUGCUACAUCGAUAUUAAUCUGUGCGCUUGCAGAUCCCAUUCAUUAUUUAUUUAGAAGAGCAAUUGCAUAUUUCAAUACCGCGUCUCUCAUGUCAUGCUGGGGAUGACAACUUGGCUUAAGUGGUGUGAGGGAUAGGUUUGGCAUUUUUGGCACCGUUGCUAGAUUUAGAACUUAGUCUACUUUUGGUAAUGAUGUUAAGAAUACCCAACAAGCAUUUUUGGCGCCGUUGCCGGGGAAGGUUGAUUACCAAUCAGGAAUGGAAUAAAAGAUUUUGAGUUAUCAUUCGCAUCACUAAUAUGAUUGAGCUUAUCUAUUCUCUCAUACAGUUUUACCCCGAUAUUUUUCUAUUUUAUCUUAUGCAGGGGAAUGUAUGAAUAGAAGACAUCUUCCAGGAAAUUUUGUUGAUAAUCCUGAAGCAUUAUUCAAGAAGACGAGGGCCAAGCUAAAGAAAUCAUCAACACUUCACGAAGAAGCUUCAUCCAAUCAAGAAGAUCACCGGAACUUGUCUUCAGAGUUCGAAGCCAUGGCAAACAAAUCGAUCCGCGAGUUCUCAGCUCCCACUACGGACAACAUCCACACUGGACCUGCUGCAGAGAUCGAUGGCAACUUUGAGCUCAAGCCUGGACUUAUCAACAUGGUGCAAUCCAACCAGUUCUGUGGGAAGGCACACGAAGAUGCUAGUGCUCAUUUACAACACUUCCUGGAGAUUUGCAACACAUUCACCAUAGCAGGAGUUUCCAAAGACGCUAUACUACUUCGCCUCUUCCCAUUCUCACUGUUAGGAAGAGCGAAGCAGUGGUUCUACGCUACAAAGGAGAAGAAUACUACGUGGGCACUCUGCUCAACAAACUUCCUGGCAAAGUUCUUUCCCAUGGGCAAGACCAAUGCUCUCUGUGGGAAGAUUACAAGUUUUCAGCAACAAAAUGAUGAAUCUGUUCCAGAAGCAUGGGAGCGCUUUCAAGACUACAUCCUAGAAUGUCCCCAUCAUGGAAUGGAGAGUUGGCUAUUGAUGCAGACAUUCUAUCAUGGGCUCAGCAACAGUGCCCGAGAGACCAUGGAUGCUGCAGCUGGAGGAGCAUUCUUAUCACUUACUAUACCACAAGCCACAGCUCUUGUGGAGAAGAUGGCGUCCAAUCAAAGCUGGAAUGAAGAGAGGACCCAGACACGCAAGAGAGGUGGACGUAUGCAUCAGCUGAAGGAGGUAGACAUGCUGUCUGCAAAGCUAGACCUGCUCAUGAAGAAGCUCGAUGAUAAAGCUGGAGACAAGAAAGAAGUUAUGCACAUCUACGACUCUCACAUGACUUGUGAGGAGUGUGGAGACACUGGACACUCAGGCAACCACUGCCCUGAGAUGCUUGAGGAUGUGAACUACAUCAACAACAACAACUACUACAACCGUCCUCAACAAAAUCAAGGUUGGAAUCAACAGAGGCCUAACUACUCAGGUAAUUAUCAAGGUAACAAUUCUUACAACAAUAAUAAUAAUUUUCCACCUUUGAGAGAGUUAGUGUCUAAUCAAGGAAAGCUAAUGGAUAACCUAUCUAAGAAAUUGGCAUCUAAUGAUAAAAUGCUAGAAAAUAUAAAUAAUAGAAUGGAUAAUUUUUCUACUGCCAUCAAGAAUCAAAUUAGCUUUGAUAAAAUGAUUGAAUCUCAGUUAAAUCAGAUAGCUGCUGCUGUUCCUACUACUAACCCCGGUAUACCAUCACAAUCGGAAGGAUUAGAAUCUGCAAAUCUUGUAGACGUGUUUGAUGCAGGUAAUUGGAGUAACCCCGUCAAUGAAUUUUCUACUGACCGUCUGCCGGUCAAGAGAGGCGAUCCAGGACGCCCCGUCAUCCCGAUCUCCAUCGGCAUGGUGGACUUCCCAGAAGCACUCUGCGACUUUGGCUCCAGUGUCAACAUUAUACCCAGGGUACUCUAUGAGAAAUUCUUUACAUAUCCUUUAUUAGAGACAACCAUGUGUUUGCAGUUUGCAGAUCAGACGAUAACUUUUCCAAAAGGAAUAGUGAGGAACCUUUGUGUCCGAGUUGGUACCUUGUAUGCACCAGCAGACUUCGUAGUGGUAGAGACCGGAAAUGAUGAGAGAGCACCUAUCAUCCUAGGGAGGCCAUUUUUGAACACCACGGGAGCUAUCAUCUACGCCAGUGCUGCUAAGAUCAGUUUCUACGUCAAAGGGAAGAAGGAAACAUUUUUCUUCAAAAACAAGACUACACAAAUUCCAAAUCAAUCCAGACGUCAAUCAAGGAAGAGGACCAACAGGAGGAACAGGAACAAGCAAGUGUGGACCGAGUCAGCUCAGAUGGUCACUGUAGUCCAUGGAGGCCAAGAUCACCAACUUAAGUCACCGUGCUUGACCAAGAAGGACGACCCAGGAAUGCCAAGCAUUUACUGCUCCAUAAAUGGAUACAACUUCUACAAGACAAUUUGUGACACCGGAUCGGGCGUCAACAUAAUGGUCGCAGUCACCUAUCGGCUCUUGUUCGGGACCAUGCCACUAAGACCAACAUACAUUCAGCUCCAGAUGGCAGAUCAGACAUUUCGAGAAGUUCAAGGAAUAGUAUUUGAUGUCCCAGUCAAAAUAGACGAUCAUUUUGUCUACACAGACUUUCAAGUUGUUGACAUGGGAGAAGACGAGUAUGAUCCACCCAACAUCCUUGGAAGACCGUUCCUCAGCACCGUUAAAGUCAUUAUCUACAUUGGAACCGGAGAAGUCCAUAUGCACUUCCCCUCAGAGAAGGUACGCUGUUAUUUUACUGACCCUAACUAUAUCAUUGAAGAAUCUAAGCAGGUAAGAAAACGACGCAACCGCAACCAGAGGAGGCAGAUCAUUAAGGACGGAUGGGCAGACUAUGAAGGAGAAGUUGUAAGGUCAGAAGACGUAGAGUUUAAACAGAAUUAUCCAGAGGAGAUUGAAGCACCGAGUCAGGUGUGGAAAAUGAAAAUAACUAUACAAGAAGAGGAGGCGCUGCCGGAAGUACCGACUACGCUACCCAACGAACCUCAGGACGAUUAAGAAAUUGGAGAGUCCCGUUCGGAGGACUUAAAAACACCGAACGCCUUGCCAAGAGGUAAACUUGGUAGUUACCCUUUCCCUUUCAGUUAUUUUAAAUAGUUUACUUAGUUAAACAUGCUCAUACUGUCUUAAAAAGAAAAUAAAAAUGUGAAAAAUAGUAAGCCCCAUGUGAAUAGACGAGUGGCAUAAAACCCAUACGUACAUUCAAUGUGGUGGCAUAAAAAUAAAAUAAAUAUUUUUCUGCUUUAUAAAAUAAAAAUAUAAAAACAGGGAGUAAAAAUUAUUAAGGAGUCUCAAGAUGAUAAAGGCUAGAUAUUUAUGCUAACACUUAAUCAGUUCCACAAGCUUUGUUGUCUAUUUGAGCUCCACAGAAUUUAAGAAUCAAGAAGACUAGCAGACGGAGGACAUUCUAAUCGCUGUCAGAAUGCUGCUUUCAAAUACACCUCUGCCACCUGCUAGCUACAUCAAGAGAAAUUACGUCAAAAUUCAGCUUGGGGGAGAGCACCCCCAUUUAUCUCGAUAAGUAUUUCUAUCUAUCUAUCUUUAUAUUUAUAUUAUUUUAGAAUAUUAAUACACAUAAACUAUGGAAAACCAAAUAAAGAUUUUAUGCUUAUAUAUAUUACUCAGUGUGUUUAAUUAAUAAAUAAAGUGGCUAUGCUAAUCUGUAUCUAAUAAAACUUAAGCAUGGAUAUGAUGAAUAGUUGCUCUGCCUAAUUUGCACAUUUUAAGUUCUCUCUCAAGUUUAGACAUAACUGUUAUAAUUUAAAGCUUGCCCUAGACCUAAACUUGUGGGAUGAAAACUUGAUCUGAAGUCUAAGUUGUUAACGGAUACGAUAUAGGAAGGUUGAGCUGCUGUUUAUCUGUUCCUAGAGAUGCUAGAAUUCUGGAGAAUUUAUCUUUGAAAAUCAUUAAAAUGUUGCAUGAUGAGUUCCUGUAUGAUGAGAGCUUAAAUUCCUACCACAGCCAUAUAUACAUGCUUGCUAGACUUUGAGCCACACAUUUACUAUUUACUGCUUAUGAGCAUUGAGUAUGGUCAAGCUGUGUAGACCCUUAGGAGCUUGUCAUGUGGUUAAAUCAAGAUUUCACUUGCACGUUCACUCAUAUAUGCUACUUCUACUCCGGAAGUACCAUCCACAUACAUCCACUCAUUUCCAUCUCCAGAACCACCUAAAAAUAUUCUACUCCUAAUCCGGGAGAGAAUAACCAAAAAUAUUUCUGUUUUCCCCUUGUGAAAUAAAUGCUCAAGUUAUCUUGUUACUACCACUUGCUAUAUUAUCUCAAGAGAUGAAUGCUCUAAAAAAAGAGAGAGAGAGAAGAAUAAUACGAGGAAAUAAAAAGGAGCAAGUGCUCGGAACCUCGAAAGAAAAGAAAAAGUGAGACGAGAGGUAAAAAUGGACAAGUGUCCGACAGUAGAAUUAGGGGUGCAAGAUACCCACCUGAGAGAAAAGAAAAAGAAGAGCAUCUCAUUCUCCUCAUAAAGUUUCAAAAGCAAGGAAGGUAUGUAUCCCCUCAGAAGAGCAAAGUAGAAUUAGACUUUCACCACCAUUGUUUUCACCAUUGUUAUCACCAUCAUCACCAUAUACCAUUCAUUCGCCACACAUGCACAUCUUGAUUAAACUUAUUGACUUGUUACUUUGGAUCCAUGGUUUGACUAUGCAAUACAUGUCUUGUAAGUAUGUAUAUUUUAUCUCCCACCUAUGAGCUCCAGAUAUUAAAGCCUUAUUGGAGUAGGAUGAGAGAGAAGGCAAUGUUACUAUGCCUCAUACCACAAAUACCACAUAUCUUGAGAGAAGGCAUAUACCAUCAAUGCCUUGGUAAGAUCCAAAAAUACCACAAAAGAGAGACCUGAG
rnacentral:lncRNA from 1 species